CCCAGCACCAGAUACCUUGUUGUUCCUGCAAUGCAUUGACUGAGAGUAUCAGCUGACAGUGGUUAUGGUGAUUGGAGUAUUCCUUUAAGAGCUUCAUUCUUCUACGCAUUUUGGGUUUAAUAUCGACACAAUAUCUGAAAGAUUGGUAGAUAUCCACGCGUUACAAUUGGUGUGAGUAUAUUGGAUUCAUAUAAUAUGCAUGAGUUGUAAUACUGGCAAAUGUGAAAAUGGGGAUUUAUUUAAUUUCAUUCUGUUUUUUAGUUGAUUUUAUGGUUUAAUGGGACAUUACAUAUCCUCCAGUGAUACACAUGAAGUGCACUCUGGGAAGUUGGCCAAGGACUUUUUUGUUGUUGUUGACCCUUUGGGUGCCUGAGAUUGGGCCAAUGCCUUGCAAAGCAGAGCGAUGGGCAUGUCCCUGGCACGCACAGGGUUACAUUUAUCCAUUUGCUAAAAAAUUAAACUGAAAUGUUCUGCAGCGUCCGGUGAGUGAACAUUUACAUUGAACCAUAUUGUUUUUUCUAUUUGCGUUUUAGUCGUUCUUACAAAAUGCUGCAGUAGUGUGUAAGAAAGAAAAGGACAAAAUUGAUUUCUAUGUUAUAAAAGCGGCAGUCCGCAGGGUUUCAGGCUUCAAAUGGACAACAGUGAGGUUAAAAUGCAAUUUUCGGAGAACGAUGGUUUCAGCACUGACGAAAAAAACGUUUCACUUUUUAGGCUGAACUCAAUGGGAGAGGAUGAAGUGUGUUGUAAAAAACCUAGCGAUAAUUAGGAGAGAAAAAUGCACAUUUUUAAAAAAAUAGAAUUAGCUUUUUAUUACCAAUAUCAAUGUAGAAGACCAGAAUCUGUGACAUUUAAUUCUAAUAUAAAAUAGCUGCUAGAUUAAAGCAGGACUCGCUCUGUUUAUACACUAGAUAAAUCCAUAGAUAGAUAGAAGCAGGGCUCGCUCUGUUUAUACACUAUAUAAAUCCAUAGAUAGAUAGAAGCAGGGCUCGCUCUGUUUAUACACUAUAUAAAUCCAUAGAUAGAUAGAAGCAGGGCUCGCUCUGUUUAUACACUAUAUAAAUCCAUAGAUAGAUAGAAGUAGGCUCGCUCUGUUUAUACACUAUAUAAAUCCAUAGAUAGAUAGAAGCAGGGCUCGCUCUGUUUAUACACUAUAUAAAUCCAUAGAUAGAAGCAGGGCUCGCUCUGUUUAUACACUAUAUAAAUCCAUAGAUAGAUAGAAGCAGGGCUCGCUCUGUUUAUACACUAUAUAAAUCCAUAGGUAGAAGCAGGGCUCGCUCUGUUUAUACACUAUAUAAAUCCAUAGAUAGAUAGAAGCAGGGCUCGCUCUGUUUAUACACUAUAUAAAUCCAUAGAUAGAUAGAAGCAGGGCUCGCUCUGUUUAUACACUAUAUAAAUCCAUAGAUAGAUAGAAGCAGGACUCACUCUGUUUAUACACUAUAUAAAUCCAUAGAUAGAAGCAGGGCUCGCUCUGUUUAUACACUAUAUAAAUCCAUAGAUAGUAGCAGGGCUCGCUCUGUUUAUACACUAUAUAAAUCCAUAGAUAGAAGAAGGGCUCGCUCUGUUUAUACACUAUAUAAAUCCAUAGAUAGAUAGAAGGGAUAGCUCUGUUUAUACACUAUAUAAAUCCAUAGAUAGAUAGAAGCAGGGCUCGCUCUGUUUAUACACUAUAUAAAUCCAUAGAUAGAUAGAAGCAGGGCUCGCUCUGUUUAUACACUAUAUAAAUCCAUAGAUAGAAGCAGGGCUCGCUCUGUUUAUACACUAUAUAAAUCCAUAGAUAGAUAGAAGCAGGGCUCGCUCUGUUUAUACACUAUAUAAAUCCAUAGAUAGGUAGAAGCAGGGCUCGCUCUGUUUAUACACUAUAUAAAUCCAUAGAUAGAUAGAAGCAGGGCUCGCUCUGUUUAUACACUAUAUAAAUCCAUAGAUAGAUAGAAGCAGGGUUCACUCUGUUUAUACACUAUAUAAAUCCAUAGGUAGAUAGAAGCAGGGCUCGCUCUGUUUAUACACUAUAUAAAUCCAUAGAGAAGCAGGGCUCGCUCUGUUUAUACACUAUAUAAAUCCAUAGAUAGAAGCAGGGCUUGCUCUGUUUAUACACUAUAUAAAUCCAUAGAUAGAUAGAAGCAGGACUCGCCUGUUUAUACAUAUAAACUCAUAGAUAGAUAGAAGCAGGGCCGCUCUGUUUAUACACUAUAUAAAUCCAUAGAUAGAAGCAGGGCUCGCUCUGUUUAUACACUAUAUAAAUCCAUAGAUAGAUAGAAGCAGGGCUCGCUCUGUUUAUACACUAUAUAAAUCCAUAGAUAGAAGAGGGCUCGCCCUGUUUAUACACUAUAUAAAUCCAUAGAUAGAUAGAAGCAGGGCUCGCUCUGUUUAUACACUAUAUAAAUCCAUAGAUAGAUAGAAGCAGGGCUCGCUCUGUUUAUACACUAUAUAAAUCCAUAGAUAGAAGCAGGGCUCGCUCUGUUUAUACACUAUAUAAAUCCAUAGAUAGAAGCAGGGCUCGCUCUGUUUAUACACUAUAUAAAUCCAUAGAUAGAAGCAGGGCUCGCUCUGUUUAUACACUAUAUAAAUCCAUAGAUAGAAGCAGGGCUCGCUCUGUUUAUACACUAUAUAAAUCCAUAGAUAGAUAGAAGCAGGGCUCGCUCUGUUUAUACACUAUAUAAAUCCAUAGAUAGAUGAAGCAGGGCUCACUCUGUUUAUACACUAUAUAAAUCCAUAGAUAGAUGGAUAGAAGCAGGGCUCACUCUGUUUUAUACACUAUAUAAAUCCAUAGGAUAGAAGCAGGGCUCUUUCUGUUUAUACACUAUAUAAAUCCAUGAUAGAAGCAGGGCUCGCUCUGUUUAUACACUAUAUAAAUCCAUAGAGAUAGAAGCAGGGCUCGCUCUGUUUAUACACUAUAUAAAUCCAUAGAUAGAUAGAAGCAGGGCUCGCUCUGUUUAUACACUAUAUAAAUCCAUAGAUGAUAGAAGCAGGGCUCGCUCUGUUUAUACACUUUAUAAAUCCAUAGAUAGAUAGAAGCAGGGCUCGCUCUGUUUAUACACUAUAUAAAUCCAUAGAAAGAUAGAAGCGGGCUCGGCUCUGUUUAUACACUAUAUAAAUCCAUAGAUAGAUAGAAGCAGGGCUCGCUCUGUUUAUACACUAUAUAAAUCCAUAGAUAGGUAGAAGCAGGGCUCGCUCUGUUUAUACACUAUAUAAAUCCAUAGAUAGAUAGAAGCAGGGCUCGGUCUGUUUAUACACUAUAUAAAUCCAUAGAUAGAUAGAAGCAGGGCUCAUUCUGUUUAUACACUAUAUAAAUCCAUAGAUAGGUAGAAGCAGGGCUCGCUCUGUUUAUACACUAUAUAAAUCCAUAGAUAGAUAGAAGCAGGGCUUGCUCUGUUUAUACACUAUAUAAAUCCAUAGAUAGAUAGAAGCAGGGCUCGCUCUGUUUAUACACUAUAUAAAUCCAUAGAUAGAUAGAAGCACGGCUCGUUCUGUUUAUACACUAUAUAAAUCCAUAGAUAGAAGCAGGGCUCGCUAUGUUUAUACACUAUAUAAAUACAUAGAUAGAUAGAAGCACGGCUCCUCUGUUUAUACACUAUAUAAAUCCAUAGAUAGAUAGAAGCAGGGCUCGCUCUGUUUAUACACUAUAUAAAUCCAUAGAUAGAUAGAAGGGGCUCGCUCUGUUUAUACACUAUAUAAAUCCAUAGAUAGAUAGAAGCAGGGCUCGCUCUGUUUAUACACUAUAUAAAUCCAUAGAUAGAUAGAAGCAGGGCUCGCUCUGUUUAUACACUAUAUAAAUCCAUAGAUAGAUAGAAGCAGGGCUCGCUCUGUUUAUACACUAUAUAAAUCCAUAGAUAGAUAGAAGCAGGGCUCGCUCUGUUUAUACACUAUAUAAAUCCAUAGAUAGAUAGAAGCAGGGCUCGCUCUGUUUAUACACUAUAUAAAUCCAUAGAUAGAUAGAAGCAGGGCUCGCUCUGUUUAUACACUAUAUAAAUCCAUAGAUAGAUAGAAGCAGGGCUCGCUCUGUUUAUACACUAUGUAAAUCCAUAGAUAGAUAGAAGAAGGGCUCGCUCUGUUUAUACACUAUAUAAAUCCAUAGAUAGAUAGAAGCAGGGCUCUAUUGGGUUGUAACACCCAUUACGCUCAGCCAGGUUUAUUUCCUAAACCGUUAACCAAAUGAUUCUUGCUCUGCUUUAGUAAGUGUCUCAAGCAGUUACAAUUCAAUGUCCUUUAGAACCAUUGGACCAAAUGCAAUGACUCUUGACACAAAGCUUAUUUUACUUUGUUCUAGGUUUUUUUUGUCAAACUAAUAUCGAUUGUUGCCUUUGUUUGGGG